UUAAUGCUAAUCGUGAUAGGGGUUCUGUUAUAAAAGAGACACCUACCAUGCUAGCAUUAGC
rnacentral:pre_miRNA from 1 species